rnacentral:rRNA from 1 species
AAUGAACGCUGGCGGCAGGCCUAACACAAGCAAGUCGAACGGAUCCUUCGGGAUUAGUGGCGGACGGGUGAGUAACGCGUGGGAACAUACCCUUUGGUACGGAAUAGCCUCGGGAAACUGGGAGUAAUACCGUAUGUGGUCGAGAGACGAAAGAUUUAUCGCCAAAGGAUUGGCCCGCGUUGGAUUAGGUAGUUUGUGGGGUAAUGGCCUACCAAGCCGACGAUCCAUAGCUGGUUUGAGAGUAUGAUCAGACACACUGGGACUGGGACACGGUCCGGACUCCUACUGGAGGCAGCAGUGGGGAAUCUUAGACAAUGGGGGAAACCCUGAUCUACCCAUGCCGCGUGACCGAUGAAGGCCUUAGGGUUGUAAAGAUCUUUCAGGUGGGAAGAUAAUGACGGUACCACCAGAAGAAGCCCCGGCUAACUCCGUGCCAGCAGCCGCCGUAAAAC